rnacentral:lncRNA from 1 species
UCCCCUCGAAGUGAUCAACGGAGGCCUCCGAUCCCCUCGAAGUGAUCGGCAUCUCUUUGAUCCUUGAAAACGAUCUAGAUUCGUAAUAUCUUUUGAAUCGGAUUUGUACUAUUGGAUAUCAGAGCCAGGUUAUCCUCUUGCCCCAUUGCCAUCUCAUGUUAUCCUCUGCACCCAUCACCACCAUCAAGUGUAUGCAAACA